rnacentral:rRNA from 1 species
UACGUAGGGGGCAAGCGUUGUCCGGAAUCACUGGGCGUAAAGCGCGCGCAGGCGGUCAUCUACGUCUGGGGUGAAAGCCCGGAGCUCAACUCCGGGAUUGCCUUGGAUACGGGAUGACUUGAGGAUCGGAGAGGCAAGGGGAAUUCCACGGUGUAGCGGUGAAAUGCGUAGAGAUGUGGAGGAACACCUGGUGGCGAAGGCGCCUUGCUGGCCGAUUUCUGACGCUGAGGCGCGAAAGCGUGGGGAGCAAACAGG